AGUCAUUUCUACCAAGAUAGAUUGACUUUAAUCUCGUUUAACAUUUUAAUCUUGUUCUAUUCUAAAAAAAGUAGAAAAAGGCUACGAAUAAACUGAGAUUAAAGUUAAUCUAUAUAGUAUUAGUACAGAGACAUAACCUGUCGUAGCGACGAGACAAAACAAGCACUAACUUUUGAAACAUCAGGGCCAAACGAGCAUACAAGAUAAUAUUACGGCGUCCGGUGCACAGUCUUACGAGGAGACUUAAGCGGCAUCGAAUAAUUAACGGACAUCGAUCGUUAGUCCUUAAUGAAGGUGGAGAACGAGCGAGAAGUCAAUAACGAGGUGGACCGGCGGCGCGAUUGUGAAGAGCCAGCAGAUUGCGUAAUCCGAUGGAUAUAUCAGGGAUAGGAGGAAUAGCCCCGCGUCCAUAACAUACGUACCGGUGGAGAAAUCGGUGGGAAAUAAAAUUCCGCUUCCUGACGACUCGGUGAGUACGAAUUUCAAUUGGAUUUCGUUUUACAGCCGCUCGAAAAGAUAUUGAUUUCCCGGCUUAUGUCUCAUUUCGUUUUAUACCAUUUCGUUAUAUGGCACAAGUCUAAUGGAUUGUUAUAUUUCAAACAUACGCUAGCAAAUAGACGCUUACCCAAUCGUGGAAUAUACCCAAAAACUGGGGGAAGUUGUUCCGUCGA